CCCGACUGCUAUUUGGGUGAGAAUAAGCCAUGCGAGUUGAAUGGGAUACCUAAAGUUCCCAUAGCAAACUGCUCAGUAACACAUGAUCAACUUACCCUAUAGAGAAAAAUAACCUCGGGAAACUGAGGAUAAUGUUUCAUAAUUGAAUUGGCUUGGAAAAGUUUUUCAAUGAAAAGGAUAAAAAAAAUGGUUUUUAUCUGCUAUAGGAUAGGAUCGUGUUCGAUUAUGGUUGUUGGUGAGAUAAUGGCUCACCAAGCCGAUAAUCGAUAGGGGCCGUGAGAGCGGGAGCCCCGAGAUGGGUACUGAGACAACGACCCAGGCCUUACGAGGCGCAGCAGGCGCGGAACCUCCGCAAUACACGAAAGUGUGACGGGGUUACCCAAAGUGUUCAAUAGAACUGUGGUAGGUGAGUAAUGUCCCCUACUAAAAAGGAGAGGGCAAGCUGGUGCCAACCGCCGCGGUAAAACCAGCUCUUCAAGUGGUCGGGAUAAUUAUUGGGCUUAAAGUGUCCGUGAGCCGGUUUAGUAAGUUCCUGGUAAAAUCGGGUAGCUUAACUAUCUGCAUGCUAGGAAUACUGCUAUACUAGAGGGCGGGAGAGGUCUGAGGUACUACAGGGGUAGGGGUGAAAUCUUAUAAUCCUUGUAGGACCACCAGUGGCGAAGGCGUCAGACUGGAACGCGCCUGACGGUGAGGGACGAAAGCCAGGGGAGCGAACCGGAUUAGAUACCCGGGUAGUCCUGGCCCGUAAACGAUGCAUACUAGGUGAUGGUACGGCCAUGAGCCGUAUCAGUGCCGUAGGGAAACCGUUAAGUGUGCCGCCUGGGAAGUACGGUCGCAAGGCUAAAACUUAAAGGAAUUGGCGGGGAGCACGACAAGGGUGUGAAGCCUGCGGUUC
rnacentral:rRNA from 1 species